rnacentral:rRNA from 1 species
CGCGUAGGCGGUCUUGUAAGUCUUGUGUGAAAUCCCUCGGCUUAACUGAGGAACUGCACGGGAUACUGCGAGACUUGAGAUCGGGAGAGGGAAGCGGAAUUCCGGGUGUAGCGGUGAAAUGCGUAGAUAUCCGGAGGAACACCGGUGGCGAAGGCGGCUUCCUGGACCGACACUGACGCUGAGGCGCGAAAGCUAGGGGAGCAAACGGGAUUAGAUACCCCGGUAGUCCUAGCUGUAAACGAUGAGUGCUGGGUGUAGGGGGUAUUAACCCUCCUGUGCCGAAGCUAACGCAUUAAGCACUCCGCCUGGGGAGUACGGUCGCAAGGCUGAA